GACAGUUUGGCCGAGUGGUUAAGGCAGGCCUGCUAUUCAUCAGUCCGCUGAUCUAGCCAGCCUGUGGGUUCGCCCGCCUGGGUUCGAGUCCCAGAGGCGUCC